GGGUUGUGAGGUUAAGCGACUAAGCGUACACGGUGGAUGCCCUGGCAGUCAGAGGCGAUGAAGGGCGUGCUAAUCUGCGAUAAGCGCCGGUAAGGUGAUAUGAACCGUUAUAACCGGCGAUACCCGAAUGGGGAAACCCAGUGUGACUCGUCACACUAUCAUUAACUGAAUCCAUAGGUUAAUGAGGCGAACCGGGGGAACUGAAACAUCUAAGUACCCCGAGGAAAAGAAAUCAACCGAGAUUCCCCCAGUAGCGGCGAGCGAACGGGGAGGAGCCCAGAGCCUGAAUCAGCAUGUGUGUUAGUGGAAGCGUCUGGAAAGGCGCGCGAUACAGGGUGACAGCCCCGUACACAAAAGCGCAUGUGCUGUGAGCUCGAUGAGUAGGGCGGGACACGUGGUAUCCUGUCUGAAUAUGGGGGGACCAUCCUCCAAGGCUAAAUACUCCUGACUGACCGAUAGUGAACCAGUACCGUGAGGGAAAGGCGAAAAGAACCCCGGCGAGGGGAGUGAAAAAGAACCUGAAACCGUGUACGUACAAGCAGUGGGANNGUGACUGCGUACCUUUUGUAUAAUGGGUCAGCGACUUAUAUUCUGUAGCAAGGUUAACCGAAUAGGGGAGCCGGAGGGAAACCGAGUCUUAAUUGGGCGUUAAGUUGCAGGGUAUAGACCCGAAACCCGGUGAUCUAGCCAUGGGCAGGUUGAAGGUUGGGUAACACUAACUGGAGGACCGAACCGACUAAUGUUGAAAAAUUAGCGGAUGACCUGUGGCUGGGGGUGAAAGGCCAAUCAAACCGGGAGAUAGCUGGUUCUCCCCGAAAGCUAUUUAGGUAGCGCCUCGUGAAUUCAUCUCCGGGGGUAGAGCACUGUUUCGGCUAGGGGGCCAUCCCGGCUUACCAACCCGAUGCAAACUGCGAAUACCGGAGAAUGUUAUCACGGGAGACACACGGCGGGUGCUAACGUCCGUCGUGAAGAGGGAAACAACCCAGACCGCCAGCUAAGGUCCCAAAGUCAUGGUUAAGUGGGAAACGAUGUGGGAAGGCCCAGACAGCCAGGAUGUUGGCUUAGAAGCAGCCAUCAUUUAAAGAAAGCGUAAUAGCUCACUGGUCGAGUCGGCCUGCGCGGAAGAUGUAACGGGGCUAAACCAUGCACCGAAGCUGCGGCAGCGACNNNNNNNNNNGCUGGAGGUAUCAGAAGUGCGAAUGCUGACAUAAGUAACGAUAAAGCGGGUGAAAAGCCCGCUCGCCGGAAGACCAAGGGUUCCUGUCCAACGUUAAUCGGGGCAGGGUGAGUCGACCCCUAAGGCGAGGCCGAAAGGCGUAGUCGAUGGGAAACGGGUUAAUAUUCCCGUACUUGGUGUUACUGCGAAGGGGGGACGGAGAAGGCUAUGUUGGCCGGGCGACGGUUGUCCCGGUUUAAGCGUGUAGGUGUGUGUUCCAGGUAAAUCCGGUUCACUUUAACACUGAGGCGUGACGACGAGGCACUACGGUGCUGAAGCAACAAAUGCCCUGCUUCCAGGAAAAGCCUCUAAGCAUCAGGUAACAUCAAAUCGUACCCCAAACCGACACAGGUGGUCAGGUAGAGAAUACCAAGGCGCUUGAGAGAACUCGGGUGAAGGAACUAGGCAAAAUGGUGCCGUAACUUCGGGAGAAGGCACGCUGACACGUAGGUGAAGUGAUUUACUCAUGGAGCUGAAGUCAGUCGAAGAUACCAGCUGGCUGCAACUGUUUAUUAAAAACACAGCACUGUGCAAACACGAAAGUGGACGUAUACGGUGUGACGCCUGCCCGGUGCCGGAAGGUUAAUUGAUGGGGUCAGCGCAAGCGAAGCUCCUGAUCGAAGCCCCGGUAAACGGCGGCCGUAACUAUAACGGUCCUAAGGUAGCGAAAUUCCUUGUCGGGUAAGUUCCGACCUGCACGAAUGGCGUAAUGAUGGCCAGGCUGUCUCCACCCGAGACUCAGUGAAAUUGAACUCGCUGUGAAGAUGCAGUGUACCCGCGGCAAGACGGAAAGACCCCGUGAACCUUUACUAUAGCUUGACACUGAACAUUGAGCCUUGAUGUGUAGGAUAGGUGGGAGGCUUUGAAGUGUGGACGCCAGUCUGCAUGGAGCCGACCUUGAAAUACCACCCUUUAAUGUUUGAUGUUCUAACGUGGACCCGUUACCCGGGUUGCGGACAGUGUCUGGUGGGUAGUUUGACUGGGGCGGUCUCCUCCUAAAGAGUAACGGAGGAGCACGAAGGUUGGCUAAUCCUGGUCGGACAUCAGGAGGUUAGUGCAAUGGCAUAAGCCAGCUUGACUGCGAGCGUGACGGCGCGAGCAGGUGCGAAAGCAGGUCAUAGUGAUCCGGUGGUUCUGAAUGGAAGGGCCAUCGCUCAACGGAUAAAAGGUACUCCGGGGAUAACAGGCUGAUACCGCCCAAGAGUUCAUAUCGACGGCGGUGUUUGGCACCUCGAUGUCGGCUCAUCACAUCCUGGGGCUGAAGUAGGUCCCAAGGGUAUGGCUGUUCGCCAUUUAAAGUGGUACGCGAGCUGGGUUUAGAACGUCGUGAGACAGUUCGGUCCCUAUCUGCCGUGGGCGCUGGAGAACUGAGGGGGGCUGCUCCUAGUACGAGAGGACCGGAGUGGACGCAUCACUGGUGUUCGGGUUGUCAUGCCAAUGGCACUGCCCGGUAGCUAAAUGCGGAAGAGAUAAGUGCUGAAAGCAUCUAAGCACGAAACUUGCCCCGAGAUGAGUUCUCCCUGAGACUUAGAGUCUCCUGAAGGAACGUUGAAGACGACGACGUUGAUAGGCCGGGUGUGUAAGCGCAGCGAUGCGUUGAGCUAACCGGUACUAAUGAACCGUGAGGCUUAACCUUACAACGCCGAAG
rnacentral:rRNA from 1 species